rnacentral:rRNA from 1 species
CCCCGAAACUAAGCGAGCUACUCCAAAGCAACUGACAGAACCAACCCGCCCCCGUUGCAAAAGGGUGGGAAGACUUUAGAGUAGAAGUGACACACCUAUCGAGCUUAGAGAUAGCUGGUUAUUCAAGAAAAGGAUUUUAGCAUCCAUCUUUAAGUUUUUCAAGUACCAUUAAACACCCAACAAACUUAAAAGUUAUUCAAAUAAGGGACAGCCUAUUUGAAAAAGGACACAACCUACAAUCUAGGGUAACGAUCCCCCCGUGGCCAAGUCAGCCUAAAAGCAGCUAACUUCCAGAAAGCGUCCAAGCUUCACCACAAACCCUUACUAAUUCCACAAUUAAUCCAUAACCCACAACCACUACAGAAUAAUCUCAUACUAUAUGAGAAAUAUUAUGCUAGAACUAGUAACAAGAAGAAGAACUUCUCCAAAAUGUAAGCGUAAGCCAUAAUGAACACCCACCGGCAUUUACCGCCACAAACGAAGUAUCAACAUUACAAGAAAAUCAUACUUCAACUGACGUUAACCUUACACUAGAACAUUUCCAGAAAGAU